CAAUAGCGUAUAUUAAAGUUGUUGCAGUUAAAAAGCUCGUAGUUGGAUUUCUGGUGGGAGCGAUCGGUCUGGCGCUUAGCGCGAGUACUUGCAUCGUCUCCGGCCAUCCUUGGGGAGAGUCUGUCUGCAUUAAGUUGUCGGGCAGAGGAUCCUCAUCGUUUACUGUGAAAAAAUUAGAGUGUUCAAAGCAGGCUUAUGCCGUUGAAUAUAUUAGCAUGGAAUAAUAAGAUAGGACUUUGGUACUAUUUUGUUGGUUUGCGCACCAAAGUAAUGAUUAAUAGGGACAGUUGGGGGUAUUCGUAUUCCGUUGUCAGAGGUGAAAUUCUUGGAUUUACGGAAGACGAACUACUGCGAAAGCAUUUACCAAGGAUGUUUUCAUUAA
rnacentral:rRNA from 1 species